rfam:Stegodyphus mimosarum contig119389, whole genome shotgun sequence.
CAAAAGGUUCUUUUCAGAACCAAUUUUUUAGUCCAAAGGGAUUUAG